rnacentral:rRNA from 1 species
UACGUAGGGUGCGAGCGUUAAUCGGAAUUACUGGGCGUAAAGCGUGCGCAGGCGGCUUUUUAAGCCAGAUGUGAAAUCCCCGGGCUUAACCUGGGAACUGCAUUUGGAACUGGGAAGCUAGAGUGUGUCAGAGGGGGGUGGAAUUCCGCGUGUAGCAGUGAAAUGCGUAGAUAUGCGGAGGAACACCGAUGGCGAAGGCAGCCCCCUGGGAUAACACUGACGCUCAUGCACGAAAGCGUGGGGAG